UAAAACACAGUGGGCUGCACGGCAAUAGC
rnacentral:sRNA from 1 species